rnacentral:rRNA from 1 species
GACGAACGCUGGCGGCGUGCUUAACACAUGCAAGUCGAACGAAAAGGCCCUGCUUUUGUGGGGUGCUCGAUUGCCGAACGGGUGAGUAACACAUGAGUAACAUGCCCUUGACUUUGGGAUAACUUCAGGAGAAUGGGGCUCAUACCGGAUAGAAGCUCCUGCUGCAUGGUGGGGGUUGGAGAGUUUCGGCGGUGGGGGAUGGACUAGAGGCUUCUCAGCUUGUUGGGGGGGUAGUGGCUUACCAAGGCUUUGACGGGUAGCCGGCCUGAGAGGGUUGACGGCCACAUGGGGACUGAGAUACGGCCCAGACUCCUACGGGAGGCAGCAGUGGGGAAUAUGGCAGAAUGGGCGGAAGCCUGAUGCAGCAACGCCCGGUGCGUGAUGAUGGCUUUCGGGUGGUAAACAGCUUUCGACGGUGACGAACAGUGAUUGACGGUAAUUGGUAAAGAAGCAACGGCUAACUACGUG